UCUAGANGGUCUCAGAGCUUGCUUCUAUCCNACCGUUUUAGAAACAUCAGUGGCCAACGAUCGUCAGGAUUGUUGAGCUGCAUUGGCGGGAUUUCGCCGUCUUCGUUUCUCUUUCUUCGCGGACGAACACGCGCUGGGGCUGCAAGCUUGCAGAAUCCCUGGUCCUUGACUGGAUAUGCGUUAGGGGCUUGUAGCUCAGUUGGUUAGAGCGCGCGCUUGAUAAGCGUGAGGUCGGAAGUUCAAGUCUUCCCAGGCCCACCACACUCAUCGAGUGAGCAUUCGUCUUCUGGUUACGGGGCCAUAGCUCAGCUGGGAGAGCGCGUGCUUUGCAAGCAUGAGGUCGUCGGUUCGAUCCCGUCUGGCUCCACCAGAUGGUUUGAUCAUCGACUGAUCGUGCACCUAAAUCGUCCGCGAAACAUCACUUCGCACUUACUAGUCCGGAUGGACAGUAAGCUGCGUGAUUUCUGACAUCGUAAAGAGGAGAUCGAUCCGAGUUGGAUCGGGCAACAAGCAAUUGUUGCGCGAUACUUCAUUAUCUCCGGAUCAUUUCGGCGCUCGUGCGCCUUUCAAUGUAGCUCACAAGGCUGCGUCUGAGAGGAAUGCGAGUUGUAAAUGAUCCUUUUAGCGAAGCUUGACCGCCUCGCUAUCGGAACGAUCUUACGAAGCAAGCUGGUCUUUCUAAUCAUUGUCCGGCUGCAGAUAGCGUUCAUCGAGGGCGCGUGCCGCAAGGUAAUUCUGCAGACAACAUUCUGCCGAGUGUGUGGACAUUGAUAAUGAGAGCAAUC
rnacentral:tRNA from 1 species